GAAUGACGUUCAAACACUGGCAAGACUUACGAGGUCAGCUCCAAUCUCACCAGUGCCCUUCUAGAUAUUCAUGUAGCGAUCCUGCGAGGCUCGACCUGACAGACUCUAGAAUGAGCCUGGGAUGGGUGUCCGCUGAGGAGAGAACAAAUGGAGUCCCUUUUGCCCUAAGAAGGAGUGUGCUUAAGGCAUCUUGCCUUGGUUGGCAUGAGAUGGAGACACAGCCGGUCAGUGUCUUCAACCUACUCCCACAGCACAAAAGACCCCACGAGCCGCAGCCCCUCCGCAGGUGCUUAUGGAGCCGAGGGAGAAACAGGACGACAUUCAGACCCGAGGUUACCGCACGCUGCGGCCUGCGCCUUUCGGUCACACCGCGGAAGGACUGCGUCCCGGAGGCAGAUUUUGGGGUCUGAGCGGUCAUUGGUGCCUCCUGGAGUGUCCUGCCAUUGCAGAGAGAGCCUGGGAGGGCGCUCUUCCCAGUCUGGAGACCAGGAGGCAAACACAAGGGGUCUGAAGGGCCACAGCCCCUCGGAAGCUCCACGGGAGAGUCCUUCCCGGCCCCUCCGGUUCCUGCGACGGUCCUGGACCUGUGGCCACAGCCCUGCGGUCUCUGCCUCCAUCCUCACGUGGCUUCAUCUUUCACGUGUGUGUUGACUUCCCUCCCUCUCAAAGGACACCAGUCACCAUGGGUGAGGACCCACCCCAGGCGGGUGUGGCCUCAUCGUGACUUGAUUGUGUCUGCAAAGAGCCUAUCUCCAAAUAAAGUCACGUUCACAGGC